rnacentral:rRNA from 1 species
UGGUGGAGUGAUUUGUCUGGUUAAUUCCGUUAACGAACGAGACCUCGACCUGCUAAAUAGUCUGGCGAAUCCUCGGAUUCGUACCAAACUUCUUAGAGGGACUAUCGGUGUGUAGCCGAUGGAAGUUCGAGGCAAUAACA